CCCGGGUGACAAUCACAGUCUUACUCUCCACACGAGCCACGUCCCUCGGGUCGGUCCUGGCCAACCAGCUGCAGGAAGAGGAAGAGGAGGAAGGAGGAAAUGGAGGUAGGAAGGUAAAGAGGAGGAGGAGGAGG